CCCAGGCACGGGCCAUCCCUACACGCUGUAAAGCGAGCCGUGGGGGGAAAAGGCCAGUCUGGCUGAGCAAAGAGAUAGCAUCACAGCUUAGAGAAAAAAGGAGAAUUUAUGACCUUUGGAAAAAGGGGCAGGCCACGCAGGAAGAUUACAAGGGUAUAGCAAAGUUAUGUAGGGAAAAGAUUAGGAAGGCCAAAGCCCAACUAGAACUCAACCUGGCUUUGGAUGUUAAAAACAAUAAAAAGAAUUUCUAUAAAUAUAUUAAUAGCAAGAAGAGGUCUCGGGAGAACCUCCAUCCUCUACUGGAUAAAGGAGGUAACAUAGUGACCAAAGAUGAGGAGAAGGCUGAAGUCCUAAAUGCCUUCUUUGCCUCAGUCUUUAGCAGUAGGAUAGGGGGUUCCCUAAAUAUCCAGACCCCUGAACUAGCAGGCAGGGGUGGGGAGCAGAGUGAAGCCCCCAUAAUUCAAAGGGAGGUGGUGAUGGACCUGCUCCAACACCUAGAUGUAAACAAGUCUAUGGGACCAGAUGAGAUCCACCCGAGGGUACUGAGGGAGCUGGCAGAAGUGCUUGCAGAGCCACUCUCCAUCAUUUACCAGCAGUCCUGGCAAACUGGGGAGGUCCCGGCCAACUGGCAUCUGGCAAAUGUGAUGCCCAUCCACAAGAAGGGUCGGAAGGAUGAUCCAGAGAACUACAGGCCUGUCAGUCUGACCUCGGUGCCUGGGAAGAUCAUGGAACAGAUCAUCCUGGGAGCCAUCAUGCAACGCAUGAAGGACACCCAUGCGAUCUGGCCCAGCCAGCACGGGUUCACGAGGGGCAGGUCCUGCUUGACAAACCUGAUCUCCUUCUAUGACAAAGUGACCCGCUUGCUGGAUGAAGGAAAGGCUGUGGAUGUUGUUUAUCUGGACUAGAGAGGUGGGGGUCGGUCUCUUUUCUCAAGUCACAGGCGACAGGACAAGAGGAAAUGGCCUCAAGUUGCGCCAGGGCAACUGGCUGGAUAUUAGGAAAAAUUUUCUCACUGAAAGGGUUAUCAGGCAUUGGAAUGGGCUGCCCAGGGAGGUGGUUGAGGCACCAUCCCUGGAGGUGUUCAAAAGACGGGUUGAUGUAGUGCUGGGAGGUAUGGUUUAGUGGUGAUGCUCCUUGUUUGUUGUGUGGGUGUCUAUUUUUGUCAGUUAGGUUGACGGUUGGACAAGAUGAUCUUUAAGGUCCCUUCCAACCUAGAAGAUUCUGUGAUUCUGUGAAAACCUUUGCACAGAUCUAUGUACAAGAAGGUACCUGCACAUGAACCUGCUGUGCCACCCCUGGAGCCAGCGGCUGUGCCAGCUGCUUGGCCACCCUCUGA
rnacentral:lncRNA from 1 species